ACUGAGCCACCCAGGCGCCCCAUCGGUAGUAUUUUUCAACCAUGACCACUUGAGAGAGAAGGCUUGGCUUAACUUCUAGUUAUGUAAGAAUCUAUCUGGAGUUUACA